rnacentral:lncRNA from 1 species
ACCGCUUGGCGCGCGCACGUCCCGGAGGGCGUCCAGGGGGCGCCGCUUCCCGUUCAGCUCCGCUGAGGGGCUGGUCCAGCCCGCGCGGCUCGGAGCGGAAAGAGUCGGGCGGAGCAGGCGGCUGCUUGACAGCUGAGAGCCGAGCGGGCGGCGCGGGCAGGUCCACGGGAAGCCUACACGCCCAAGGUCAUGCCCUGACCACAGCUGCCCUUCAGGAGGCUGGCACGGAGCCACCUGGGGCCAUUGGGCUGUUUGUCAAGGGUGGGGCAGCAGCAACUUGCCACUCUUCCUCCAUGAGCCCAGCCAGAGCCUCCACUGGGCACUUAGCACAAGAAAAACCCUGCAGGAGCCGGAUCCAGAGCGCUGGGAUUCAGCAGGAGUGCCAGGAGAAUUCAACACAGGUGUGCUGCCUCCUCUCCUGCCAGGUGUGUGGCUGCACAGGAGUCUUGCUGAUGGUAAGAAUCGGAGUUCCUGGAUUCAGGGGGUACUGGGAGCAGCCGCCUGUGAGAAGGCUGGGCCAAACAAACAAAUGUUCUGAAUGAGGAUAAGAAAACAGCAUUUCUCCUGAGGGUCUCUGAUUUUCUGUAGCCUGCCCCUGGCUUGAAAACUGUCAGCUUAGCAAAGUGGACUCUCAAACCACCUGGAUCUCAUGUUUUUUGCUUGUCAGAUUCAUUGAUUGCUGCAGAAUAGGCUCAACAUCCCACAGGGUCUGCUUCUCUGACUGGGACAAAAGCGCUCAUAAGAAACUGAUGGGAGCGGCUUCACCAGGGGUGGCAGACAAUUCUGGCCAGGAGUGGGUGUCCGCAGUGGGCAAGAAGUGUGGGCUCCAUGCCAGGAGCAGUGGCGACAGCUUCUAGAAAUUGUCUAGUAGCCUGACAUCCUAAAGAAUGUCCUGGAGAGCUGGAAAAGCGGUUCUUCCAGACACAUGCAGGGAGCAGCGAAAUGAGAUGCAGUAGAAGGUUGAAUCCAGCUGGGAGCACAGUGCAAUUUAGUUAAGAGUGACUUCUGUGGCAUCUGCUGGUCGUGGGUGAGGGCUGGGGGAAGAUAAUACUAAUUUGGCCAUUAUUACACAUGUCUUUCUUGAAUCUUCAAUCAGAUUGUCAACUCCUUGAGGGUAGUAAUGGAAUAUUUUAUGUCUUUUGCAUUCUUCACAAGGUCGGGUACUCAGCCAUUGUUUAUUGGUUGACUAUUUGAUGCAUUCCGACACAAUACACUUGACCGGGCCAGGUCCUGGGAUCUUCAUUCAUAGGAGCAGUGUUGUCACCAGUAUCUGUUGGGCACCUGCUGAGAAGGAGCAAUGGCGGGUACUUUUGCCACCCGAGUUGGCCUGAGGUUGCUGAGUGUAUGAGUUUCCUAGGGCUGCCUUAACAAAGUGCCACCAACUGGGUGAUUAACAGAAAUGUCAGGUCUCCCAGUUCUAGAGGCGAGAGGUCUGCAACCAAGGUAUCAGCAGGGCCUGACCCCUCUGUGGUGUAUAGGAGGCCCCUCCUUGCCUCGCCCUGGCUUCUGACGAUUUGCCGGCCGACUGUGGUCUUCCUUGGCUUGCAGCUGCGUCACUCCAAUCCCUGCCUUUAUCAUCACAUGGCAUUCUCCCUGUGUGUGUGUGUUUCCAAAUUUUCCCAUUUUUAUAAGGACACCAGCCAUAUUAGGAACCGCCCUACUCCAGUAUGACCUCAUCUUAACUCAUUACAUCUUCAGCAACCCCGUUUCCAAAGAAGGUCACAUUCUGAGGUACUAGGGGUUAGGACUUCAAUGUGGAGAUCACAGUUCAAGCUGCCACACUAAGUGAGCUCAUUCACAGUGACAAGACUAGGGACAUACAAAGGGCCGGGGUGAAUAUGAAUGGUGUUCCAUGGUGCUGCCUGAAAGUGACUGGCAGCAGUGUCAGCAGGGGAGCAUGUCCUCUGUUCUCAGCAUUCACUAGAGAGGUGUGCUGAGCUGGGGCCCAGCUGGACACAUUGGAUGCUGUGCUCCAGAGGAGGAACUGCACUCACCUAUCGCUCUCCUUUGUAUGGGACAAGUGGGACAGAGCCUUGAUGGGGGGAACACACCACUGGGGUUCCAGGCAGCCUUAACUAUCGAGGAAUGGCAGGAAAUUCUGUCUGCCCAGCACCUGGUGACCCUGGAGCUCCUCAGUUUCCCGGGAAGUUGAGUUUUGGAGCAGUCUCUUCCAGAGAGGCUGGGAGUGCAUCACUUUCCCCCUGGAGGUGGCGGAGGCUGCUGGGCCCAACUAGCUCAUUGCCAGGCAAUCCAGAGAGAGUUCCAGACACCAGAUACUGAACAACCUACUUGUCUCCACACCUAGUAAAGCUUGGAUCCAAUGCUGCCAACUUUUCUGCCUCUCCAGUUUUGGAGCCCUUAAUGUGAAGGUGCAACCCAGAAGCCUGCAGGCUGUUCGUAGCCUGUAGAUGUGUUUUCUUCCCAGUAGCUGGUGUAUACAGUGUUUUUGUAUUAUUUUUCAAAUAAGCAAUACAUUUGUGUGGUUCAAAAAUUAAAGCGCUAUAGAAAGGU